UACAGAGGGUGCUAGCGUUGUUCGGAAUCAUUGGGCGUAAAGGGCGUGUAGGCGGUUUGUUAAGUCAUGUGUGAAAUCCCUCGGCUCAACCGGGGAACGACGCAUGAAACUGGCAAGCUAGAGUACCAAAGAGGGGGGUGGAAUUCCUGGUGGAGCGGUGAAAUGCGCAGAGAUCAGGAGGAACACCCGUAGCGAAGGCGGCACACUGGGCCGGUACUGACGCUGAGGAGCGAAAGCGUGGGGAGCAAACAGG
rnacentral:rRNA from 1 species